rnacentral:rRNA from 1 species
GUAGGGUCCAAGCGUUAAUCGGAAUUACUGGGCGUAAAGCGUGCGCAGGCGGUUGUGCAAGACCGAUGUGAAAUCCCCGGGCUUAACCUGGGAAUUGCAUUGGUGACUGCACGGCUAGAGUGUGUCAGAGGGGGUAGAAUUCCACGUGUAGCAGUGAAAUGCGUAGAGAUGUGGAGGAAUACCGAUGGCGAAGGCAGCCCCCUGGGAUAACACUGACGCUCAUGCACGAAAGCGUGGGGGGAGCAAACAGGAUUAGAUACCCUGGUAGUCCACGCCCUAAACGAUGUCAACUAGUUGUUGGGGAUUCAUCUCCUUAGUAACGUAGCUAACGCGUGAAGUUGACCGCCUGGGAGUACGGUCGCAAGAUUA